GGCAACCUAGAGGUCUAGCGGGACCAGCUCAUCCUGUUGAGCCCCUCUGUGGGCUUGACCCAGUGCCAGCUGCUUUUAACUUAUUGUCACAACAAACCCUUACACUGGUGUGGUCACCCCCAUUUCCCAGAUGAGGAACAUGGCUUAGAAGGAGGCAGAGAGAACCAGAGCCCCCUCAUUCAGAAAGGCCCUGCCUUAGUCUUGCCUCUCCCUUGUCCCCCCUAUGUCCCCCAAAGGACCGACCAAGCACUGACUGUGGAAAACAAUUUAUUUUAGGAUUAGAGCUGAUCUUCCAGAGAGAACCAGCUCCCUCAGGGUAAGAGAUCUGAAGGGGUCUGACUCCCAGGGCCUGACUUCUGUAGGGAAAGACUGAAGCAGGAUGCCUGGAUUUGGGGGAGGCAACCAGAGUUGCUGGGGGUGCCAGGAAGGACCUCCCAGAAGACCACUGACAUGUACACACCUCCCUGGCAGGCACAGCCACACUCCUCGCUGACACACCCCAGGAGGACAUCCCUUUCUCUAGAAUCAUACACCACCUCAUGCUGGCAGUAAAGCAGUCACUACUUGGCGCGGGGGCAGCUCCGCCGUUGCAGACGAACGGCGAUCGUCACCGCCCUGUGGCUGCACUGGAGGUUGAAGCCAGACACCAGGAAGGACCGCCAACCGCCCGCCCCAGGCCACGGCCAUCUCCUAACAGGAGACUCGCACUCAUGAACCCUAAUUCAGACACAGCGGGGCACACUCCCGGGCACACCUAACACACACAGGAGUGUGGGCCAGGCUGCUGUCACCUGGAUCAAGGGGUAAGGCCCACUGAUGCACACCCAGGAAUCCGCGCACGUGAGCAAGUGCCCACGCACACACAGGGGAGACACAGGUGAACAAACUCACCCCUCUCUGGGUCUUGGACCUUGUGGGGUGAAGAGGGCUGUAGCUCAGAAGUCCUAGGGAAGAGGGGCAGCCUGAGUCACUUCAUGUCCCCUUUACUGUCAGGCCCUGGGUUGGAUCCUGACAGGGAUGGCUCAGCCUACAUCACUUCUUCCAGAAGUUGGGGUGGGGGUGGGGGGUGGGCAUAAAGACCUGAAAUCCAGUUAUUCCUGGUCAUUCUCAUGAGGAGCCAUCCCACAGCCAGAGGCAGGUAAGAGCCAGGGGCUGCCUUCUCAUGGGAGGUCUCCCAGCGUCCUGGCUAGAACAGGUGGGUGGGUAGGGGGGCUGCUGUCAGGAGGACCAGAGGACAACAAGGAACUAGGGAUGGGAUGAUGGUUUCAGGUCCUCCUCUUCUGUGGAGAAUUUUGAGAAGGGGUAGAGGCUGACUCCCGUCAGUAAGGCUCAGCAAGGGGCCUAGCACCAAGAAGCUGCUCCAAAAAUACUAUUAACUGAGGCUUUUUUUUUUUUUUUUUUUUUUUAAAGGAGGGGCACCUAGAUGGCUCAGUUGGUUAAGCAUCUGCCUUCAGCUCAGGUCAUGGUCCCAGGGGCCUGGAAUGGAGCCCCUCAUCAGGCUCCCUGCUCAGUGGGGAGUCUGCUUCUCCCUCUCCUUCUGUUUCUCCCCUCUGCUCCUGCUCUCUUUCAAAUAAAUAAAUAAAAUCUUUAAAAAAAAAAGAAAGA
rnacentral:lncRNA from 12 species